AUGAACGCUGGCGGCGUGCCUAAUACAUGCAAGUCGAGCGAACGGAUGAGAAGCUUGCUUCUCUGAUGUUAGCGGCGGACGGGUGAGUAACACGUGGAUAACCUACCUAUAAGACUGGGAUAACUUCGGGAAACCGGAGCUAAUACCGGAUAAUAUUUUGAACCGCAUGGUUCAAAAGUGAAAGACGGUCUUGCUGUCACUUAUAGAUGGAUCCGCGCUGCAUUAGCUAGUUGGUAAGGUAACGGCUUACCAAGGCAACGAUGCAUAGCCGACCUGAGAGGGUGAUCGGCCACACUGGAACUGAGACACGGUCCAGACUCCUACGGGAGGCAGCAGUAGGGAAUCUUCCGCAAUGGGCGAAAGCCUGACGGAGCAACGCCGCGUGAGUGAUGAAGGUCUUCGGAUCGUAAAACUCUGUUAUUAGGGAAGAACAUAUGUGUAAGUAACUGUGCACAUCUUGACGGUACCUAAUCAGAAAGCCACGGCUAACUACGUGCCAGCAGCCGCGGUAAUACGUAGGUGGCAAGCGUUAUCCGGAAUUAUUGGGCGUAAAGCGCGCGUAGGCGGUUUUUUAAGUCUGAUGUGAAAGCCCACGGUCAACCGUGGAGGGUCAUUGGAAACUGGAAAACUUGAGUGCAAAAGGAAAGUGGAAUUCCAUGUGUACGGUGAAUGCGCAGAGAUAUGGCAGGGAACACCAGUGGGCGAAGGGCGAACUUUCUGGGUCUGUACUGGACGGCUGAUUGUGCGAAAAGCGUGGGGGAUC
rnacentral:rRNA from 1 species